rnacentral:rRNA from 1 species
GUAGCAUAAUUAUUAGUUUUUUAAUUGAAAGCUUGUAUGAAGGGUUGGACGAGAUAAAAUCUGUCUUUAUUUAAAUUAUUAUAGAAUUUAACUUUUAAGUCAAAAGGCUUAAAUGUAUGUAAAAGACGAGAAGACCCUAUAGAUCUUUAUUUAACUAAUAUUUUGAUAAUUUAGGAUUAUUUUAGUUUAAAGUUUUAGUUAAAUUUUAUUGGGGUAAUAUAAAGAUUAAAUAAAUUCUUUUUAUUUAUUACAUUGAUUUAUGAAUAUAUGAUCCGAUAUUAUUGAUUAUAAGAUUAAGUUACCUUAGGGAUAACAGCGUAAUUUUUUUGGAGAGCUCAUAUCGAUAAAAAAGUUUGCGACCUCGAUGUUGGAUUAAAAAUUAGCUUGGGUGCAGAAGCUCAAGAUUUUGGUCUGUUCGACCAUUAAAUUUUUACAUGAUCUGAGUUCAGACCGGCGUAAGCCAGGUCGGUUUCUAUCUUUACUUAUCUAAAAUAUUUUAGUACGAAAGGACCAAAUAUUUAAUAUAAUUAUAUUUAUUUUUUGAAUAAUAUU